CCUACGGGAGGCAGCAGUAGGGAAUCUUCCACAAUGGGCGAAAGCCUGAUGGAGCCACGCCGCGUGGGUGAAGACGGUCUUCGGAUCGUAAAACCCUGUUGUUAGAGAAGAAAGUGCGUGAGAGUAACUGUUCACGUUUCGACGGUAUCUAACCAGAAAGCCACGGCUAACUAUGUGCCAGCAGCCGCGGUAAUACGUAGGUGGCAAGCGUUAUCCGGAUUUAUUGGGCGUAAAGGGAACGCAGGCGGUCUUUUAAGUCUGAUGUGAAAGCCUUCGGCUUAACCGGAGUAGUGCAUUGGAUACUGGGAGUCUGGAGUGCAGAAGAGGUAGGUGGAACUCCAUGUGUAGCGGUGAAAUGCUUAGAUAUAAGGAAGAACCCCAGUGGCGAAGGCGGCUCUCUGGUCUGUAACUGACGCUGAUGCACGAAAGCGUGGGGAUCAAACAGGAUUAGAUACCCCAGUAGUC
rnacentral:rRNA from 1 species